rnacentral:rRNA from 1 species
UACAGAGGGUGCGAGCGUUGUCCGGAAUCACUGGGCGUAAAGGGCGCGUAGGCGGCUUGAUAAGCGUGCGGUGAAAGCCCGGGGCUCAACCCCGGGUCGGCCGUGCGAACUGUCGAGCUGGAGCACUGUAGAGGCAGGUGGAAUUCCCGGUGUAGCGGUGGAAUGCGUAGAGAUCGGGAAGAACAUCAGUGGCGAAGGCGGCCUGCUGGGCUGUUGCUGACGCUGAGGCGCGACAGCGUGGGGAGCAAACAGG